CGAAUGGCUCAUUAUAUAAGUUAUCGUUUAUUUGAUAGUGCCUUACUACUUGGAUAACCGUGGUAAUUCUAGAGCUAAUACAUGCUAAAAGACCCGACUUUGGAAGGGUUGUAUUUAUUAGAUUAAAAACCAAUGCCCUCUGGGCUCACUGGUGAAUCAUGAUAACUUCGCGAAUCGCAUGGCCUUGUGCCGGCGAUGGCUCAUUCAAAUUUCUUCCCUAUCAACUUUCGAUGUUUGGGUAGUGGCCAAACAUGGUUGCAACGGGUAACGGAGGGUUAGGGCUCGACCCCGGAGAAGGAGCCUGAGAAACGGCUACUACAUCCAAGGAAGGCAGCAGGCGCGCAAAUUACCCAAUCCCGAUUCGGGGAGGUAGUGACAAUAAAUACUGAUACAGGGCUCUUUUGGGUCUUGUAAUUGGAAUGAGUACAAUUUAAAUCCCUUAACGAGGAACAAUUAGAGGGCAAGUCUGGUGCCAGCAGCCGCGGUAAUUCCAGCUCUAAUAGCGUAUAUUAAAGUUGUUGUGGUUAAAAAGCUCGUAGUUGAACCUUGGGCCUGGCUGGCGGGUCCGCCUCACCGCGUGUACUUCGCCGGCCGGGCCUUUCCCUCUGUGGAACCCUAUGCCCUUCACUGGGUGUGGUGGGGAAACAGGACUUUUACUUUGAAAAAAUUAGAGUGCUCCAGGCAGGCCUAUGCUCGAAUAUAUUAGCAUGGAAUAAUAAAAUAGGACGUGUGGUUCUAUUUUGUUGGUUUCUAGGACCGCCGUAAUGAUUAAUAGGGACAGCCGGGGGCAUCAGUAUUCAAUUGUCAGAGGUGAAAUUCUUGGAUUUAUUGAAGACUAACUACUGCGAAAGCAUUUGCCAAGAAUGUUUUCAUUAAUCAGGAACGAAAGUUAGGGGAUCGAAGACGAUCAGAUACCGUCGUAGUCUUAACCAUAAACUAUGCCGACUAGGGAUCGGACGAUGUUAUUACUUGACUCGUUCGGCACCUUACGAGAAAUCAAAGUGCUUGGGCUC
rnacentral:rRNA from 1 species